GGGCCCGUAGCUCAGUCUGGUUAAUCAUUUUUGAUUAAACUUUUUGCGAAAAAGUUUUUAGGACAAUAGAGCACUGCCCUUGCAAGGCAGGGGCCUCGGGUUCAAAAUAAUUUUUGUUAGACUCAAAAAUUAAUGAACAUCCCGACGGGUCCA
rnacentral:tRNA from 1 species